UCUAACUUGUUUGACUUGUUGAAGAAGAGCUCGGCUGACAGCAGAGGACAGCUGAACGCUCACACAGACAGAAACACUGAGACUAAAGACUUCUGAAUCUACAGAAGUACAGAGCGAGAGAAACAUGGUGUGACUGAUCAUCAACGCCUGCAGGUUCGUGGCGAGGAAGAUCCGCGCUUCGGUGAAAGGAGAGGCACAGCCGGAGAAAACCAGCACCACAACAUGUAGAGUGACCAAAGCUCAAAGGGGCGUCAAGAUGAGCUCUGAUCAUCCCGCCUUGAUUCAACCAGAAUCCUCUGUUGCUCGGCAGAGAGACGACUGUGGAUCCUGAAAGUAAACUGACAGCCGGAUGUUCACUGCGAGGAGGAAUACACACACACACACACACUACACACACGGUAACACACAUGCACAUCUACAGCUCACAACCUUUACAGACUCCUCCAUUAUAAAUUAAUUUCCACUCAUAAUUUAUUAGAUUACUUACCUCAGUAGUAAAUGUUUCAUACUUCAGACAUCAGAACUUCCCCUCUGCAGAUUUUUUUCUGCAUUCACGCUCCAUCCCCAGUACCAUUAUCACACACACACACACACACACACACCUCAUGUCCUCCUCCCAUCAUCCAGCUGUCAGGUUUCUCAUCCUUCCUGUGUGAAUUGCAGUGAUCAGUCUGAUCAGCAGAGAGAAUGAAGGUCUGAUCACCAAGUCCUCCUCAGAGGAAUCGAUCAGACUGGAUCAACAUGAAGACUCUGCUGAAGAAGCUGCACUCACUCAUUCAUCUAAAUCAACCAAUCAAUCUUUAUUUGUAUAGUGCGUCAUGAUUUUCUAUCUUUGCUCUUAGUCAGAUGAUCAAACUCAUCUCUGCCAAGUUUUCUGGGUCAGUAUUAAAACCUCUAAACUAGUGCAGCGGUGACAUUUAAUUAAGAUGUAUCAGGUAGAUAGAGUUGACCUGACUGCAGCCAGAUGAUCCUCAUGCUGCAUACAGGACUGGGAUGUUAGCUGACAGGAUAAAAUAACUUGUUUGUUUUCAUAGGUUCAUUGUACAUAUGUUUCAUUAAUUGCACAUAGGUUCUCUAUUCUUAUUCCUGCACAGGUUAUGCACAUUUUCUUGGCACAGGUCCAAUUUUUAAAUUGUAUGGGGUAAAUUUUGUUCUAUUGCAGGUUUCCUUAAACCUUUGUUCGGUUAAUAAAUAUGGGAGGGGGGACAGUGGCUGUGUUAGAUGGGACAAAUAUCUCAUGUCAUGUGUGUGGAUGCUUGGAAUUUCCCUCAGAGUUAAUGAAGUAUCCAUCCAUCCCUUCCUCCAUCCAUCCAUCCAUCCAUCCAUCUGCUGGAUGUCAACAUGUUUGUAAGGCUGCAAACCAAAAAGAUACAUACAAAAGAUGGAUGCACCUAAAAAUUCAGCCGGAUAUCCUCUUCAUGAACAGAUAAUGAUGAUUCCUGCCGUCAUACUUUUGUUCAUUUCACUCUUUAUGUUGUUAACGUGUUUGUAUCUGUAAAACCAGGUAACAACAAACAGAUACGAAUAUAUUAGCUUUUAUUAUUAAAUUAUGCAUUUUAACGAUAGUCCCCUGACAAAACUGCAGUUGUACAAAUAAUACAGAAGAAGAAUAAUUACAUGACAUGGUGCAAUGUUUGUACAUAUAGACAUUUGUGUAAAAACAAACGUUUUCCCUUUAUUCAAAUAAAUAAAAAAAACUUAUAGACAAGUUAAGUAAAGUUACCACGUGCCUUUUACUUAAAGCAACAUUAUGUAGGAUUUGAGAGACACGGCGCCCCCUGCAGUAUGGGAGGGCACAUCACACCCUCAUGUAGACAUAAAAGCCAGUUUGAGAUUUAGAAGGCAAAAUGACAGGAUUUCACCUCUCUGACAAACUUUUAGACUUGGCAGAUUAAUUAAUAUUGAAUGAGAGAACAUUGGAUUAAAACAGGGAAAAUUUAUUUUUAAUGUCAUAGGGGACUUUAAGUCUGUCAUUCAGGAAGCCGUGCUAACUCAAGUUGCAAAGUCCAUCUGAACAAUGGAUCAGAAUUAAAGAGGCUCCAAUCUGCCUUUAUCAAGUCACUGUUCCAUCAAACUGACUGUAAAGCUGUUAUUUAACACUAACAGCUACAUAUUGUUGCUUUAAUCAGCCUGUGUAACUACAAACCGGGUAACUUCACGAUUAAUUAGUUGUCCUGGUAGGUUUCUCUUUGAACCAUUGCAAACAGUGCAGAGAAAACCACUUAGUGAAAUAAAAAAGGUUUCUAAUGAUCAUAAAUGGCUAAUGUGGUAAAGCUACUGUUAAAGUUGCCAUCUUUCUCCAUUUGUUUGGAUUGAUAGAUCACUGAUGAAUAUCUGCAUUUGAAGGGUGAAAAUCAUUAAAAAAAAAGUAAAGUAUAGAAAAACAAACUGAAGGAAAGAUUAGGCACUGGUACAGGAGGCAGUAUUGUAUCACCUAUCUACAGAAAACAGCAGUGAAUGAUCUCAGGCCUACACUUGACCUCCACACAUCAUAAAUAUAUUCUACUGAAAUGCAGCAAUAAUCAGCAUUUGAAGUCAGUAAGAAAAGGUUGUGCACAUUUUGGAAGUGCAACAGGCUCAGUUCUAUUUCCUUUCACCAAUACGCUGGAUGAAACUCACAGCGGCUAUAUUUCUGACAGAUUCCCACAUAGUUUACAGACAAAACCAGAAAGAUUGCAGUGCUUUCUUUACUGUCCACACAGAAGAAGACACACAAUCUGUGGAGCUGCUGCUUUCUGUUUGUGAGGAAACCAUCCACACUGUCAGCCCCACAAAGGAGAGCGUUGUGGAGGUGAAGCUCCGUCCUGAUGGGGGUCUCCAUGCUGUGAUGGUGCUCCUUCUCCUGCAUGCUGUCAUUGUUCUUCUGAACCUGUCUCAGGUACAGGAGACGGGUCACCACGGCCAGGAUACAAACAGUGAUGAACACUGCUGCUGUCACCACACCUGAGGAGUAGCAAACACGUACACAUUAAAGGUGCCAUUUCAGAUACAAGCAGAUGCAUUCUUGGUGGUUAAACUUAAUAAUGUAAAACUUGUUCACUGUUUCCUUUAUACUUUUUUCUGAACCCCUUUUUGUUGUCGAAAGCUUGAAAGAGAAAGUUUGGAGAUGGAGUACCUUGAGAGGACACUUUGAGCAGCAGAACAACUUUUUGACUUAUCACAUCAAUCUCUUCAAAGAAUAGCGACCCAAGGCUGGUCAACCUAGCAAGCACCUUUAGGUCAGGGUUUUAAAUGAUGAGGACGAUCAAACUGAUCUGUUUUUUUUCUUCAAGUAGACAAAGAAGAAACUCACAUAUACCAGUACCUGUCACAUCUGUCUCUAGAAAUCCGGAUGGGAAUUGUGUUGUUUUUACAUGUUAGGUCAAAGAAAAAUAUUAGGGUUACACAACCCUGGAUGAUCCUGAGCACUAUCUUUCAAAACAUGCACGGUUGUCUCAGAGUAGUUGCUCAAAGCCCUGAAGAAGGACCUGAAGGUCAUGAUGUCCUCAGAUAACAUUAUUACACAGUGAGUGGAAUGAUAUUAGUGAUAUUAGUUCAGCAGUAGGCACAGCCCCAACAGGACAAGGUGUAGGAGGACUGUUGAUACGCUUGAUUCUUCCUUGGUUUGGUUGGAUGGUACUGUCAAUUUUUUUCACUGAGCAGUCUCUUUAACUUAGCCUGACCAAAAGUCCACCUUUGAUCAAUUUGAACUGUAUAAAAAGUAUACACACAAAAAACUAAUAUAGAGAUAAGACUAAAAUCGUUUCCAAAAUGGAGAACUUCUUUUGCGUGGACCGGGGGGCUGUCCAUCUUUGGGAAAGCGGUUUCACCACCAUUUUGCAACAAGAGACAAAGAGACUAAGUACCCAGCUACUGAACUGGAGUAUCUUUCUAGAAAAUGAGCCAAGAAACUUGUCACUUGUCUUUUGUCCUGAUAGUUAAGAUAAAGGUAGAUAAAGUGACUCUGGUUUAGUAACCAAACUCAGAAUCAAUAAGCCAAAAAGAAAGAUACAGACCUGCUAUAACAGCCACAUCAUUUUGUGUAUCCUCGCUCUGCUGCUUCUUUUCUUUGUCCACAGCUGCAGAAUCAUCUUAGGAGCAAAAGAGAGAAACUCAUUCCCUUUGUAUAAAAGUAAAAAGUUAUCAUUGUGUAAUUCAUUAUAUAAGCUCCCUGCUGUUGAAAAUGAGACAUGCAUGAGUGUGUCAGAUCUGUGUGAAUCAAACUAAUGUCACAAUCACACUUUAACAUUACAAUACUGUAUAUCAAAUGUGUAAAUUUCUAAAGACAGUGACCGACCAUGUGUUACAUCUCAGAUUAUGACUGACCGUGUGUGUUACCCCUCAGAUUAUGACUGACCGUGUGUGUUACCCCUCGAGUUGUGACUUUCAGUGUGUGUUACCCCUCAGACUGUGACUGACUGUGUGUAAUCCCUUAGGUUGUGACUGACGGUGUGUUACCCCUCACACUGUGACUGACCUUGUGUGUUACCCCUCAGGUUGUGGGAUGUUAUGGAGUUUGCCAAUGUCCCACAGUUCGAUUGGACUAAUGAGCCUCUAAUCGUGACCAAUGAGCUGCCUCGAUUCUGCAGUGCCGCUUUCAGAGGAGCCACGUGAUUGAACUGGACCGAAGAUAGACAGCCGACGAAACCCUCGGAACCUGCACGCACCACCUCUUCAUGGAAACUCUCUCUCCCUGUUCAGAUAGACAGAGAGAAAGUCAGGAAGAUAAACUGAUAGAAAGAUUAACAAAGAGGCUGAUGUCAAAGAUGUCAUUAAACAACAGUUAUCCAUA